CUAAGGAUGUCAUGUAAGAAAAGCUUUAACGAAAUCACUUUGGUUUGUAAAUGUCCUUGAGGAUUGAAUUAAUAGAAACUAGCAAUUCUUCUGCCUAAACUGAUUCCUGCAAAUUUUCUUGCCGAACUACUACAUGGUAAUACUCCCUUCAUUCCAUAUUCUAAUGCACAUAGUUUUUUGCCUAGAUUCCGAAAUGUAGUGCGCAUAAGCUGCUUUGGACUAAAGUAGCCCUGGACUGUUCACAGGGACGCAGCAGCAGACACCCACGUGCUGUGACAGAGCGAGCAGCUGGAGGGCAAUUCUUGUCCAAAUGAGAAUGUCAGCUCAGGCAUUGGUAUAAACGCUACACACAAAGGCGCAUUAUAAAGUGGAACAGUGGGAGUACUAAAUUCAUAUGUAAUACUAAAUUCCUACAGGUCAUAAAUUGGGGUUUUCGACAAUAAGUACCUAAGUCUAUGUUAUGUUUAAGUUAAAAAACAAUGUCGAUGUGAGCCAUACAUACACCGAUUAAUAAAGCGGUUAGUACUUAACUUGACCGUCAUGUCCUAUGUGCCUUAGGGGUAAGUUUUCAUCUCCACCAUUGACCCGCUUAAGGUGGCUAUACUGAAGCAGACCCCAUAUAAUUAUGAAUGGUUUAUGAAGUUGAAGGAUGAAACUUGAAUGAACACAAUGUUGAGGUUUGUAAAGUGAAGCCUAAGACAAGUUUGAGAGGGUAAUAUGGACUUCUCUCAAACUAUAUUACCAGAGGACAAUGAGGGCCUUGGAAGACAAUGACAGCGAUGAGUUUCUCCCGGUUCUGUUUUGUUGUAGGUGAAGUUCUUAAUUAUAAUUAUCAAUGUGUUUGUUUUUCCUAAGGAUGCAGUGACAUGCAAGGUGAGGCAAAUUGAAGCCAAAACAGUAGGACGGUCGGAAGUGUGCCAUUUUUUCUAUAUAGGGAAUCUUCAGGGAAUCAAGCGGUAGCACCGGAUGCUGACAUGCAUGGAAGCGCAUGACGAGGUGGGGUCUUAUAGCGGGAAAUCGAGAGUGAAGGAGAGAGUCCAAUAGGAAAAGUGAAGGGUGCGUCAUGGGGUGGAGUGGAGUUUUUCUAUUGGGUUGGAAUGACAACUUUGCUUGAUAGCUGCCUGGGAUAGACAGUAACAUCUCAUCAUGCAACAUGCCAGUUGGGGAACUGAGUGCGGUAGCGGAGCUGUGGGAGUGGUGGACAUGCAAUGAGGGAAGGACAAAGAAUAGAGGAUUAGGAAGGACGGAUGGAGGUGUCGGAGCUGAGAGAAAAGAGGGAAAUACCGAAGGGAGCUGGCAUGGAAAGAAAGCGAAGUUGUGCCCCAAGGUUAGAGUGUGAUCGUGCUAUAAAUGUUACCUUUUAUCAAUGCUCGUGUUCAUUCUCGAAGGCUCCACACAAUCAUUGUGAAGGAAGAUGGCAAACUCAUUGAGGACAAUCAUUGUGGUGAUUUCUAAGCUCAAUUUCUGGUGGAGUAGUCUCAUGACAAAUUAAGAGGACAACCCAUGAGUAACUCAUAAAUUUAUAAAAUCACCUUGUUUUUUCAUGCAUAUUCAUGUUACCUACAAACGUUAGAUGUGAUUGAUUUAGGGAAGAAACAAUGGAAGAGAUGGUGGUUUUGCAAUGUAAAAUAUAUGUCUGAAUCAAGUAUUGUUUAUUUAA